UUGUUUUUUAGCUUCCUCUGUCGUUCCUUCUACCUUGGCGCGCUGGCCAUCAGACGGAGGGGACUCCGGUGGGUUGGGCCGCGAGGUAUGCUCGGGGACCUCCCCCGAGGGUGAUUGUUAUCCCCCCCGGGGAAGCAACAGUGGACGUGUACGCGGAGAGUUGGCAUUGGAAACCGGCCACCCGGCGGCGAAGGGGCGGGCGGGGAGCUCCAUGCCGCCUCGGUGGUUAGCCGAGGCGGGGGCCUCAUCCACUCUCGCCCUUGGGUCUACGGCCCCUCCCGGGCCCGGGGGCACAAUUCGAGUCGGGCUACCCAACGCCCGCCCGCGUUUCCUGAAUCGUUUCUUUUUCUGGUAAUGAUCCUUCCGCAGGUUCACCUACGGAAA
rnacentral:misc_RNA from 1 species